AAAAUGCGAUAAGUAAUGUGAAUUGCAGAAUUCAGCGAAUCAUCGAAUCUUUGAACGCACAUUGCGCCCGCCAGUAUUCUGGCGGGCAUGCCUGUUCGAGCGUCAUUUCAACCCUCAAGCCCCCGGGUUUGGUGUUGGGGAUCGGGCUGCGGUUCUACCGCGUCCCGGCCCCGAAAUCUAGUGGCGGUCUCGCUGCAGCCUCCAUUGCGUAGUAGCUAACACCUCGCAACUGGAACGCGGCGCGGCCAAGCCGUUAAACCCCCAACUUCUGAAUGUUGACCUCGGAUCAGGUAGGAAUACCCGCUGAACUUAAGC
rnacentral:misc_RNA from 1 species